rnacentral:rRNA from 1 species
AUUGAACGCUGGCGGCAUGCCUUACACAUGCAAGUCGAACGGUAACGCGGGGCAACCUGGCGACGAGUGGCGAACGGGUGAGUAAUGCAUCGGAACGUGCCCAGUAGUGGGGGAUAGCCCGGCGAAAGCCGGAUUAAUACCGCAUACGACCUACGGGUGAAAGGGGGGGAUCGCAAGACCUCUCGCUAUUGGAGCGGCCGAUGUCAGAUUAGGUAGUUGGUGGGUAAAGGCCUGCCAAGCCUACGAUCUGUAGCUGGUCUGAGAGGACGACCAGCCACACUGGGACUGAGACACGGCCCAGACUCCUACGGGAGGCAGCAGUGGGAAUUUUGGACAAUGGGCGCAAGCCUGAUCCAGCCAUGCCGCGUGCGGGAAGAAGGCCUU